ACGGGAGGCAGCAGUGGGGGAUAUUGCACAAUGGGCGAAAGCCUGAUGCAGCGAUGCCGCGUGAGGGAGGAAGGUUUUCGGAUUGUAAACCUCUGUCCUCAGGGACGAUAAUGACGGUACCUGAGGAGGAAGCUCCGGCUAACUACGUGCCAGCAGCCGCGGUAAUACGUAGGGGGCAAGCGUUAUCCGGAUUUACUGGGUGUAAAGGGAGCGUAGACGGCAUGGCAAGUCUGAUGUGAAAACCCGGGGCUCAACCCCGGGACUGCAUUGGAAACUGUCAAGCUAGAGUGCAGGAGAGGUAAGUGGAAUUCCUAGUGUAGCGGUGAAAUGCGUAGAUAUUAGGAGGAACACCAGUGGCGAAGGCGGCUUACUGGACUGUAACUGACGUUGAGGCUCGAAAGCGUGGGGAGCAAACAGGAUUAGAUACCCUGGUA
rnacentral:rRNA from 1 species